CAAAGAUUUAAUAAUGAAGUGACAGCAUUUCUGAGACCGCGUUGAAGAACGGUGCUCUAAAUCGAAGUAUCAUUUUCUCGGCAGCGCGAGAGACGGCGCUGAUCAUUUGUCCUUCUCAAGCAUCUCAUCCUGUUUUAUUUCCUUUGUGUUGAGUGAGGGAGAGUCUUACAUUCAUUUUAGGAGAUUUUCGAGGAACUGAAAGCCCAGCAGGAAUUUGUAUUCAGCGAGAUUGUAUCGCAGGGAACUGUCAAUAGGUUUACGCUUCUGCGUCAGUCGUUCUUUAACAGAGAAAGAGCUUAAAGUUCACGACCGUGGGGCGCUCAAAGUGGACUGUUGAACGAAAUCUGUGUAAAGAAAGCACAACCGCGCAGGCUAUGAGAUCAUAGAGGUGAUUUGAAGACAAUUCCGUGGAAGAGAGGUGAUUUAUUACCGGUGCAAGAUGUAAGUUCUCAACUUGCUGUUCUUUUUAUUAGCGUGUCUCUUUUGUCUCCAAGAUGCAACUAGCGAAGCGUCGGGAAUUACAACAAGAGAAGGCAAAAAUGUCACUUUACCAUGUAAGACGUCCAACGGCCAAUCUGGAAUCUGGUACAAGACUG